UACCUGGCAGCAAGAAACACCUGGAGGUAAACCCUGACCAUUCCAUUCUUGAGACCUUAAGGCAAAAGGCAGAGGCUGAUAAGAACAAGUCUGUGAAGGAUCUUGUCAUCUUGCUUUACAAAACUGCACCCUUGUCUUCUGGCUUCAGUCUGGAAGAUCCCCAGACACAUGCUAACAGGAUCUACAGGAUGAUCAAACUUGGUCUGGGUAUUGAUGAAGAUGACCAGUGCAGCUGUCACUGAAGAAAUGCCACACCCCUGGAAGGAGAUGACAACAUAUCACCAUAUCACAGAGGGAAGAAGUGGACUAACCUCCGGCUGAGGGAUGGCUUAUCUGUUCAAGACUCCACAAUUCCUCUGGUCUUCAUCCCAUCCGCCUUCAUCCUCAAGGACUACUGCUCCUUCUCUACAGGAGUGGGGGGUCAACCCAACAUUCUCCCUCUCUGAAAAGAGCGUCACCAACACUUACAGAUGGAACUUCACACAUACAUGUAUGUUAGAGCUCAUAUGUUAGCCCCCUGAUGGCAGAGCAAGCAUCUUGAUCAUGCUGAGUGAAUGAAUGAAUAAAUGAAGGAAUCAAUGGGUGUUUAUCAGCACAUCAAAGUGCAUCUGUGGCCUAUAACACUCAACUGCCUCCUAAGACUUGAAGAUGGCCCCUGCUGGGCAUGAUAACCCGAAUUCCCGCCUACAAAUAGCUGACAGGAGUGGGGCGUAUACAAUAGGACAUGGCUCCUUGCAGAGGGGCAGGGAGUGGAGCUGCGAAACCAAAGCAAUGUGAAGAAAUUAGUAAGUGUUGGGUAGAUUUCAAUCACCCAAUUUAAAACCAUAAAUGACUUUUGAGUUGGUUACAUUCUCCCAACUACUUUUAAUAAGUUCAUGAGAGGAUCAUGAUGCGUCUGCAGCUUACUAAGGGCUGUUCUUAGGAAUUUUCUUACUCAGAAUGUAUGAUAAUGUAGGUGGAAACUUGACAGCCACUUCCCUUUAAAUUCUCUCGGUGCAAAAGCCUUGCUCAGCAAAUGGCUGACACAAAUGAAGUUUCCGGGAAAUGAGAAAUGCUUGGAGUGAAAACGUUUGAAGUGAAUUGACCCUGGCAGGGCCUAAAAUCUGGAGACCGAGAAGUGCCCAGUGACCCGGCCCACAGCGAACCGGUUCCCCACGGAGGCACCUCGUGACCCAGCCCACGGCGAGCCGGUUCUCCACGGAGGCACCAUUCUGUUCGUUUCUAUUUGCCUGCUAUUCCAUUUGGGAUUUUGGCUCCUGAUUGAACAAUGCCUGUGAAGCCGCGGUGCAGACAAUUUCCCUAACACAGGGAAAGCCACUCUGAACUCCUCGGCAAGGUUCUUUUUCUUUUUUUUUGAGAUGGAGUU
rnacentral:lncRNA from 1 species